CGUCUGCUCCCAGCGUCCAGCGCGCCCCGAGGUCUCGCGCGCUUUCGGGUAACCCCUCGGUAACCCCCUGGAAAGCCCUCGCGGGCCCCGCGGCCUCCACCCUCGCGCCCGCGCUCCGCUCUCUCCACAAGCCGCCGUGUGUCCCCCGCGCCCGCCACGCAGCCUUACUUUGACUCGUCUCUGCAUGUGGCUCCGCCAUUCCCGCUGCACCAGGAGAGACUCGUCCGCCUCCUCGUCAAACACGUCCCCUUCCUCUCCGGGACCCCGGACCAGCGGGGCCCUCUGAACCCACGACAUCACCGAGGCAACCGCAGGGCGGCCGGGCGCCGGAAGCGCCCGCAACGUCUUCCGAGGCAGAAACCAUUUACUUCACAGUCUUGCUGAGAAGGAAAUGCUAGAGCAGGCCUGGAUGAGGGAGAUGGGGCCAGCAUGGAGUGCAGCUCCAAGAUAGCUCAGAGGUCAGUCCACAUGACAUUCUUGAGUGCUCUGAGGAAUCAAUCUUAGAAUCUGUCAGUCUGUUCAGCUGCUGUAACAGAAUAAGGUGGACUGGGUGGCUUAUGAAUCACAGAAAUUUACCUCUUCGGGUUAUGGUGGUGGGAAGAUCAAGUUCAAGUUCAAGUUCACCCAUCGAGCCUGGUUGGUUGUAGAUGAAGGUCCUCUUCUGGGUUGCAGACUGGCGACAUCUCAUUAUGUUCUCACAUGGCAGAAGGUGGGCAAGCAGCUCUCUGGGGCUUCUUUAUUAAAGUCACAGAGAGAGAGAGAGAGAGAGAGAGCCAGAGAGAGAAGCAGGCUCCAUGCACCAGG